rnacentral:rRNA from 1 species
CCCUAGUAACGGCGAGUGAAGCGGCAGCAGCCCAGAUUUGGAAUCUGGCCCCCUUGCGGGGCCCGAGUUGUAAUCUGCAGAGGAAGCGUCUGGCGCGGCGCCGGCCUAGUUCCCUGGAACGGGACGCCGUAGAGGGUGACAGCCCCGUACGGUCGGCCGCCAAGCCUGUGUGUCGCUCCUUCGAAGAGUCGCGUAGUUUGGGAAUGCUGCGCAAAGUGGGAGGUAUGCUCCUCCUAAGGCUAAAUACCGGCCAGAGACCGAUAGCGCACAAGUAGAGUGAUCGAAAGAUGAAAAGUACCUUGAAAAUGGGGUUAAACAGUACGUGAAAUUGCCAAAGGGGAAGCGCUCGUGGCCAGACUCGCGCCCGGCGGAUCAUCCGGCUCUCCCGCCGGUGCACUCUGCCGGGCUCGGGCCAGCGUCGGUCGGCGCCGGUACUGAAAGGCGGUGCGAACGUGGCUCCCUUCGGGGAGUGUUAUAGCGCGCCGCGUAAUGUGCUGGUGCCGUCCGAGGACCGCGCUUUAUGCAAGGACGCUGGCGUAAUGGCCACUAGCGGCCCGUCUUGAAACACGGACCAAGGAGUCGCCCAGAGGCGCGAGUGUGCGGGUGACAAACCCCUGCGCGUAGUGAAAGCGAACGCUGGUGGGAGCCCUCACGGGCGCACCACCGACCGAUCCUGAUGUCUUCGGAUGGAUUUGAGUAUGAGCGUCUCUGGUCGGACCCGAAAGAGGGUGAACUAUGCUUGGGUAGGGUGAAGCCAGAGGAAACUCUGGUGGAGGCCCCGUUUGGGUUCUGACGUGCAAAUCGAUCCAUAAACCUGGGCAUAGCGGCGAAAGACUAAUCGAACCUUCUAGA